rnacentral:rRNA from 1 species
AUUGAACGCUGGCGGCAUGCCUUACACAUGCAAGUCGAACGGCAGCGGGGGAGAAGCUUGCUUUUCCUGCCGGCGAGUGGCGAACGGGUGAGUAAUACAUCGGAACGUACCCUGUAGUGGGGGAUAACUAGUCGAAAGAUUAGCUAAUACCGCAUACGACCUGAGGGUGAAAGUGGGGGACCGCAAGGCCUCAUGCUAUAGGAGCGGCCGAUGUCUGAUUAGCUAGUUGGUGGGGUAAAGGCCUACCAAGGCGACGAUCAGUAGCUGGUCUGAGAGGACGAUCAGCCACACUGGGACUGAGACACGGCCCAGAGUCCUACGGGAGGCAGCAGUGGGGAAUUUUGGACAAUGGGCGAAAGCCUGAUCCAGCAAUGCCGCGUGUGUGAAGAAGGCCUUCGGGUUGUAAAGCACUUCUGUCCGGAAAGAAAUGGCUCUGGUUAAUACCUGGGGUCGAUGACGGUACCGGAAGAAUAAGGACCGGCUAACUACGUGCCAGCCGCCGCGGUAA